UACGUAGGGGGCAAGCGUUGUCCGGAAUCAUUGGGCGUAAAGAGCGUGUAGGCGGCUCGGUAAGUCCGCUGUGAAAGUCCAGGGCUCAACCCUGGAAUGCCGGUGGAAACUGUCGAGCUAGAGUCCGGAAGAGGCGAGUGGAAUUCCUGUGUAGCGGUGAAAUGCGCAGAUAUCAGGAGGAACACCAAUGGCGAAGGCAGCUCGCUGGGACGGUACUGACGCUGAGACGCGAAAGCGUGGGGAGCAAACAGG
rnacentral:rRNA from 1 species